rnacentral:pre_miRNA from 1 species
UUUUAUGGAUGAGCAAACAAAGUGGUUUCUUGAGAUGGGAUCAACUGCUGGUGAAGAUGCUGUAAA